GAAAAUAGGAAUGCGUCCAGAUGAUACAUUGGGACGCCAGUGUAGCAAAGUGCCCUACACAGACAAGAUAUCCAUCAAACAUUUAGUGAAAGAAUGAGUGCAUUCACUCAAUACAUGCUGAAUGAAUGGAUAACACAAAUCAUGGCACGUGGAAAAAGCGACAUGUGUAGAAGUCAGAGGACAACUAGCAGAAGACGGUUCCCUCCUUCUGUCAUGAGGGUCCCUGGGAUUGAACUCUGAUCAUCAGGCUUAGAGCAUCAGUCACCUUGAAUGCGGAGCCAUCUCUCCAGUCUCUGAUAAACCAGCUGCAGUACUAUACUCCUGUCAUCCCAGAACUGAGAAGGCUGAGGGAGCAAAACUGCAAGAAUUCCAGCCUGGCCUACAUAGCAAGAGCCGAGACCUGUAUUGUAAAAGAAUAAAUAAAUAAAGCUCCCCAAUGGAUUCAAACUGCUUAA